UAUCUAUAUUGCUGGGAGUUACAGGCCACUACUGUUGCUAAUAUGCAACUCUGUUCAAUAUAAAGUGGAAUUGCACUUUAGCAAUGGUGAUGGAGUGUGUCAAUUGCCGGCAGUGAAAUU
rnacentral:pre_miRNA from 15 species